rnacentral:rRNA from 1 species
AAAGCUCAAAUUUAAAAGCUGGUGGUCUCAGGCCGCCCGCAUUGUAAUCUAGAGAAGUGUUAUCCGCGCUGGACCGUGUACAAGUCUCCUGGAAUGGAGCGUCAUAGAGGGUGAGAAUCCCGUCUUUGACACGGACUGCCAGGGCUUUGUGAUGCGCUCUCAAAGAGUCGAGUUGUUUGGGAAUGCAGCUCAAAAUGGGUGGUAAAUUCCAUCUAAAGCUAAAUAUUGGCGAGAGACCGAUAGCGAA